UCUACCGGUAGUGACGACUCAAGUGAGUUUGCAUUUUCAGCUCUUAACAAUAAACCAUGUAAUGAGAGAUCUUGAAUCGUGGCUUGUAGUGCCAAGUCACUUUGUUCCACUAAAGCAGAAACUUGGUAGAUGAUGCGUGAAAAGCGUCGUCUCUCCGUCAUAGAGCUUUCUCAUAUAGUCGUCGAAUCUGUCGAUGACUAUAUCAAAUAGAACAAAAAUUGUUCAAUUGUUGUUCUUAAAAUGUCGAGGUAGCACAGAGUUACGAUUGCUAAAGGUCAAGCUCUUAAUUGAAAAAAUGCCAAUCUG
rnacentral:ncRNA from 1 species